rnacentral:rRNA from 1 species
GACGAACGCUGGCGGCGUGCUUAACACAUGCAAGUCGAACGGAAAGGCCCUGCUUUUGUGGGGUGCUCGAGUGGCGAACGGGUGAGUAACACGUGAGUAACCUGCCCUUGACUUUGGGAUAACUACAGGAAACUGGGGCUAAUACCGGAUAGGAGCUCCUGCUGCAUGGUGGGGGUUGGAAAGUUUCGGCGGUUGGGGAUGGACUCGCGGCUUAUCAGCUUGUUGGUGGGGUAGUGGCUUACCAAGGCUUUGACGGGUAGCCGGCCUGAGAGGGUGACCGGCCACAUUGGGACUGAGAUACGGCCCAGACUCCUACGGGAGGCAGCAGUGGGGAAUAUUGCACAAUGGGCGGAAGCCUGAUGCAGCAACGCCGCGUGCGGGAUGACGGCCUUCGGGUUGUAAACCGCUUUCGCCUGUGACGAAGCGUGAGUGACGGUAAUGGGUAAAGAAGCACCGGCUAAUUACGUG